GCCAGGAUAGCUCAGUUGGUUAGAGCGCAGGACUCAUAAGCCUGAGGUCGUGAGUUCGAACCUCACUCCUGGUA
rnacentral:tRNA from 1 species